CGUCCACUCCACGCAUCGACCUGG
rnacentral:piRNA from 1 species